CAACCUUGGUGGAACGACCGGUUAGGAGUCAGUCUUCGGUUCGCAAUAGAACUCUGCAGGCGCUUUAUCCGCAUACAUCUCUAUUUGCUAACUAUAGGAACGAUCUUUCAUCUACUUAACUCCGACUAUUAGUAAGAAGGAAGAAAUCACGUGGACAGAAAAACGAUUGUUGACGUCACAAUCGUCUAAAGUUCUGCAUUAAAGGCGAAAUAAUCACGGGGUGAGCUUUGAUUUUUCGAGCCCCCUCUGAAGAUGGAGCCCUUCCGUCCACGCACGGCUCCCAGACUAAGAAGCCAAACUCAUUCUCCCGAUGAUGAUGACAGAUAUCAAAGCACCACUUCCGAAGAAGAUGGUGGAGAAGAAGGAAUCUCUAAUACCUACGACUGCAUUAACAGACGUAUGACUUUCGAAGAAGCUUUUCUCAAAUCUAGAGAUUAUAAUGCAGUAAAGAUGUGAACAUUAGCAUUAGGGAAGGUAGUUAUCGCUCAAGUUAUACGGAGAUUUUUAAACCCCGGAGCCGAUAUCCAUCAUACUAAAAAAGGAAGUUUCACUGAAUAGAUGAAAAUAGGAUGCAAAAUAUACUCAUCAUUUAUUUCUCUUUUACAUGAUCCCUGGAGCAUAAGCUUCGACUACACGUAACUGGAGAACCAUUGUCCUUAAUAAAGAAAAAAAUAAAUAUAUAAAUAAAAUUAGUACUUAUAUGUGAGGGGAAAAGUUUUGCUUCAUAUCCAUAAACAUAUUGUAAACAUUAACGAGAAUUACGUAAAAAGAAC
rnacentral:lncRNA from 1 species